UACGGGGGGAGCAAGCGUUGUUCGGAUUUACUGGGCGUAAAGGGCGCGUAGGCGGCGCAACAAGUCACUUGUGAAAUCUCCGGGCUUAACCCGGAGCGGUCAAGUGAUACUGUCGUGCUAGAGUGCGGAAGGGGCUACUGGAAUUCUCGGUGUAGCGGUGAAAUGCGCAGAUAUCGGGAGGAACACCAGUAGCGAAGGCGGCACUCUGGGCCGGUACUGACGCUGAGGAGCGAAAGCGUGGGGAGCGAACAGG
rnacentral:rRNA from 1 species